UACGUAGGGUGCAAGCGUUGUCCGGAAUUAUUGGGCGUAAAGAGCUCGUAGGCGGUCUGUCGCGUCUGCUGUGAAAACCUGGGGCUCAACCCCGGGCCUGCAGCCGAUACGGGCAGACUAGAAUUCGGUAGGGGAGACUGGAAUUCCUGGUGUAGCGGUGAAAUGCGCAGAUAUCAGGAGGAACACCGGUGGCGAAGGCGGGUCUCUGGGCCGAUAUUGACGCUGAGGAGCGAAAGCGUGGGGAGCGAACAGG
rnacentral:rRNA from 1 species